rnacentral:rRNA from 1 species
UACGGAGGGGCUAGCGUUGUUCGGAAUUACUGGGCGUAAAGCGCACGUAGGCGGCUUUGUAAGUUAGAGGUGAAAGCCCGGGCUCAACUCCGGAAUUGCCUUUAAGACUGCAUCGCUAGAAUUGUGGAGAGGUAAGUGGAAUUCCGAGUGUAGAGGUGAAAUUCGUAGAUAUUCGGAAGAACACCAGUGGCGAAGGACGACUUACUGGACACAUAUUGACGGCUGAG